rnacentral:ncRNA from 1 species
UGCGAAUGGCUAAACCUACCAUGGGCCGUCGACGGUGGACUAGCGAGCUGGGGAGCCAGCUCGCGACAGUACCAAAUUGUGGGGCCUGCACCCGCAGCCAGGGCUCUCCUGGUUCAACGACUACAUGGUACGCGGCCGGAGCGUGAGCGUUCCGGUGAAAAUAUAGUCUCUCCUCGGGGACGCGCCCCCGGGACCGUGGCAUUAUAUCAGU